UUACUUGCUCAAGUGUACUUGCUCUGCCAACUGUGUAUAUAGUUAGACUGAAAUGGUGGUAGGUCAAGCACAUUUCUUAUUCAUCCAAGUUGAACUUUGCACGCGCUACAUUACCUACACGGUUUGCGUUAUCGAUGUGACUGACAGUAUCGCGACAAAGGGACCAUAAAUAAUGCUUGUUACAUAUUUAUUAUUUAAAGACGCGAUAGUUUCCUGUCUGUCAAAUCGAUGUAGUCAUUUCGUUUUACGUGUCCAACGCGCAUACGCGAGAGCAUCAUGAAAUUCUGUAUACACCUUUUGCGAUCGGCGUUAUUUAUUUACAUUUCAAUGUAUUUAUAAGGUUACGAAAUUUCUUUAAAUUCAAAUUCUUCGUGCCAUUAUUAUUAUUUUUAACUACUUGUCACAAUAACAGCAUUGUCAUCAGGCCAAUUGUCACUUUACUGUUUAACAUUAAUUUUUUCAUUAUUCAAGGUCACUGCGACUAGAGUAUAAAUAUUGUUGUACAGUUGAAAAUAAAGUUUGACUAUCCUACAUACAUUGGGCAAUGUCCGCAUUCAUGCAAUGCGGUGUGUAUAUAUAUAUAUAUAUAUAUAUUUCAUAUACCUAUUUAUGUAUAAGUUACUGUAAAUUAUUUUUAUUCGUCAAAUUGGCAUCAUUGUUAUUUCUUAUUGUCAUUGUAAUGACAACCGAAUACUGAUUUGGCAAAUACAAUAAUUCUAAAGUACCACGGGCUCGAAAGAUCGUUACUGUAGUUUGGUGCGCAUGGACGCUCCUAUAAGGAAUUUAUAGAUAUACAGUAAGAAUGCGACAUAGAACUUUUGUAUAGCAAUUGCCUGAUGUAACAGGAAAAUCGCAAGACUGUUAGUUUUAUAUAAAACUACGUAAUUCGCAUUGUCAAUAAAAAUAGUCUAAGCGAACAAGAUACUUGAGACGGAGGGUAGAGAGAAUUAAGUAAUUUCAUGUAAAUUGUGUAUAAAAUAAACAAUUAUACAAUAUUAUAAA